rnacentral:rRNA from 1 species
GACGAACGCUGGCGGCGUGCUUAACACAUGCAAGUCGAACGGAAAGACGCUGCUUGUGUGGGGUGAUCGAGUGGCGAGCGGGUAAGUAACAGGAAAGUACCCUGCGCUGGAGUUUGGGGCAACUUAAGGAGACCGAGGAUAAUACCGGAUAGGAGCACCAGCGGCAUGGAGGGGGUUGGAAAGUUUCGGCGGUUGGGGAUGGACUCGCGGCUUAUCAGCUUGUUGGUGGGGUAGGGGAUGACCAAGGCAGUGACGGGUAGCCGGCCUGAGAGGGUGACCGGCCACAUUGGUCCUACGAGACGGCGCAGUCGCCUACGGUAGGCAGCAGUGGGGAAUAUUGUACAAUGAUCGGACGCCUGAUGAAGCGACGCCGCGGUCGUGAUCACGUCCUUCGGGUUGUAAACCGCUUUCGCCUGAUACGAAGCGUGAGUGACGGUAAUGUGUAAAUAAGCACCGGCUAACUACGUG